rnacentral:rRNA from 1 species
UGGGGAACCUGCCCCAUAGUCUGGGAUACCACUUGGAAACAGGUGCUAAUACCGGAUAAGAAAGCAGAUCGCAUGAUCAGCUUUUAAAAGGCGGCGUAAGCUGUCGCUAUUGGAUGGCCCCGCGGUGCAUUAGCUAGUUGGUAAGGUAAAGGCUUACCAAGGCGAUGAUGCAUAGCCGAGUUGAGAGACUGAUCGGCCACAUUGGGACUGAGACACGGCCCAAACUCCUACGGGAGGCAGCAGCC